rnacentral:rRNA from 1 species
UACAGAGGUCCCAAGCGUUGUUCGGAUUCAUUGGGCGUAAAGGGUGCGUAGGCGGCGCCGUAAGUCGGAUGUGAAAUCUCGGGGCUCAACCCUGAAACUGCAUUCGAUACUGCGGUGCUAGAGGACUGGAGAGGAAACUGGAAUUCACGGUGUAGCAGUGAAAUGCGUAGAUAUCGUGAGGAAGACCUGUGGCGAAGGCGGGUUUCUGGACAGUUCCUGACGCUGAGGCACGAAGGCCAGGGGAGCAAACGGG